rnacentral:misc_RNA from 1 species
UUUCAUUGCUUGUUUAUCUGACGACACAAAUUCAGAGUAUGAACUCCGGCGAGUCCGCGCCGGCAGAAUUGAUCUUCCGCCAACGGCUGUUUCCAACGUCUCGCCGAAGCAACGUCGGAUGGUCAAGGGUGGGAGUUCCUGAAGCAGGAAAACUCGGUAAUGAUCCUUCCGCAGGUUCACUGUGAAUGUUAGCUGGAAUCGCCUCAAAAAAGAGAAACAUACCCUACGGAAA